UUUAACAGCUGGCUACCAGCGGGGAAGGAUCUCUUCUGGAGAUCUCUCCUCUGGAAUUUCAUACUGAGCCCAGGAUAUGGGUAAGCAUUCUAUCUAUUCUCUUUUGGUAUAACAACUGCUUAGCCAAACUCUCUGGUAUAUUUCAUAAUUAUAAUAUCUGUACAUUCAUUGAUUAUACAACUAGAAAUUGCCCUUGACUGUAAUUAUGCCACUUAAGAGGGCAAGCUGUGCUAAGCUUCGGGUUUGCACUCUGUGUUUUGGUGUUGGGAACUCAAUUUUAACAAGACCACGGCAGGGGACGUAAAUGGUAUUCUCAAACCUUGCCUGUAAAGCUUCCUUUAGCAUCAACUGUGCUGCUCAGCAAGCAGUGGGCUUGGGUCUAUUUCCCCGUUUUUCAUAAAACCCCGCUGGCUGCCCAGAAUCAUGUCCACUUCCAGCCUGCGCCGAGUCCCUGAGCAGCUAUUGUGUUGCUUUUCCCCAGCUUGAAACCAGGGUUGUGAGCCUUUGUUAAUCAAAUCUCCCUGCACCUUGUCCAGCUAAGCCUCUGUGUCAAGCAAUUAAAGCAGUGUGCCACCAGCUUCUGAGUGUUUGUUACAAGGCUGUGACAGAAAAGCUCCCCACUUACCUGUUCCCAGCCUGGCUUGCAAUCCCUCAUCACAGCCUGGAAGAGAGAAACAGCUGCAGCUGCCAGCUGAAAAAGAAGAAAGAUCUGCGUCGGUUCAGACUGUACCCCAGGCUGAGGGAGCAGUGAAUUGCCGCGAGAUCUUUUCUCUCCAGCAGCAAUAAACCCUGAGAAGCGCAAUGCUAGCAGUCUUCCCUGUGCCUAUUCCCAGGGAAGCUCUCCUCCACACGACCUGGACCUCCUGGAAAAGCAGAGCUUUGGGUUCGGCGCCCCUUCAGGUUGUUUUGAAGUCACUUCAUGGGGAAGAAGAGCGUGCCGGGCACCCCGCGAAUGGAUGAACUGCGGCAGCCGGCGGCGCCGAUGUCUUUCGGCCCCUCGCUCAGAGCUUUGCUGGAGGACGUGGUGGAACUGCUUACCCGGGAGCUCCUGAAAAUCCUCUUGCAAGAAAGACUUUUGGAUCAGAACCAAAGAAAAUACGAUCUCGCUGACCAGAUUUAGGUAAACUGAGGAUCUGCUAGCAAGCUAAUCCCCUUGGGACAGAAGAUACAGCUGGAGAUGGAGCCAGAGCUAGAACCCAGUGCUGGACAUCAGCCUUUAGAGACUGGGCUUUUAACAAAGGUGCUGGAGAAAUAUUUCUCAAACUGAAGAAGCGCAGCAGUGAAGGAUGAGGUCAGCAGGCUAAGCUGUGCAUGGCAAAUGGAGGAGAGCAUCAUCCUUGUGGGUUACUGUAGCAACAUCACAUUUAUUCUUUCUGUAAUACUGUUAAUAGUGAUUGCUUGUAUGAAAAGCAGAUCCUCCCUGUAUAUUUCCUGUAUGUUUUCUGUUUCCUUGUUGUCUGAUGUGCCCCUGUGAAUAAAACCAGCUCUUUGCA